rnacentral:rRNA from 1 species
AUUCGCCCUUAGAGUUUGAUCCUGGCUCAGAGUGAACGCUGGCGGUGUGCCUAACACAUGCAAGUCGAACGGUAACAGGUUAAGCUGACGAGUGGCGCACGGGUGAGUAAAAGAUAGCUAACAUUCCCUUUGGAGGGGAACAACAGAUAGAAAUGUCUGCUAAUACCCCAUACUCCGAGCAAUCGGGAAACGGUUUUUCGCCAAAGGAUUGGGCUAUCACCUAUCAGUUAGUUGGCAGGGUAAAAGCCUACCAAGACUAUGACGGGUAACUGGUCUGAGAGGACAAUCAGUCACACUGGAACUGAGACACGGUCCAGACUCCUACGGGAGGCAGCAGUGGGGAAUAUUGCGCAAUGGGGGAAACCCUGACGCAGCAACACCGCGUGGAGGAUGGAGCAUUUCGAUGUGUAAACUCCUUUUGAGAGGGAAGAAUAAAGACGGUACCUCUCGAAUAAGCACCGGCUAACUCCGUGCCAGCAGCCGCGGUAAUACGGAGGGUGCAAGCGUUACUCGGAAUCACUGGGCGUAAAGAACGCGUAGGCGGGGUUAUAAGUCUUGAGUGAAAUACUAUAGCUUAACUAUAGAAUUGCUUGAGAAACUAUAAUCCUAGAAUCUGAAAGAGGUAAAUGGAAUUAGUAGUGUAGGGGUAAAAUCCGUAGAUAUUACUAGGAAUACCAAAAGCGAAAGCAAUUUACUGGGUCAGUAUUGACGCUGUGGCGUGAAAGUGUGGGUAGCAAACAGGAUUAGAUACCCUGGUAGUCCACACCCUAAACUAUGAAUGCUAGUCGUCGGAGAGUUAUAUCUUUUCGGUGAUGCAGUUAACACGUUAAGCAUUCCGCCUGGGGAGUACGGUCGCAAGAUUAAAACUCAAAGGAAUAGACGGGGACCCGCACAAGUGGUGGAGUAUGUGGUUUAAUUCGAAGAUACGCGAAAAACCUUACCUGGACUUGACAUUGAUGGAAUCCGAUAGAGAUAUUGGAGUGUCAUGAAAAUGAAACCUGAAAACAGGUGCUGCACGGCUGUCGUCAGCUCGUGUCGUGAGAUGUUGGGUUAAGUCCCGCAACGAGCGCAACCCUCGUCCUUAGUUACCAUCAGUUCGGCUGGGCACUCUAGGGAGACUGCCUUCGUAAGGAGGAGGAAGGUGAGGAUGACGUCAAGUCAUCAUGGCCCUUACGUCCAGGGCUACACACGUACUACAAUGGGAUAUACAGAGAGUUGCAAUAUCGCGAGAUAGAGCCAACCUUUAAAAUAUCUCUCAGUUCAGAUUGUUUUCUGCAACUCGAAAACAUGAAGCUGGAAUCACUAGUAAUCGCAAAUCAGCAUGUUGCGGUGAAUACGUUCCCGGGUCUUGUACUCACCGCCCGUCACACCAUGGGAGUUUAUUUCACCCGAAAUCGGGAAGCUAAACUGGCUACCGCUUACGGUGGAAUCGGCGACUGGGGUGAAGUGGUAACAAGGUAACCAAGGGC